rnacentral:misc_RNA from 1 species
CCCCUUGAUUCUUUUCCGUGCUGCAGACUACCCCUCCCCCUCCCUCCACCUCUUACAGCUUGCACCACACACCUGACCUCAUUAGCACGGUCAUACCAUAGAUCCCUCUCUGUUGCACAAUGGUGGCGGGGCAAUCCGGAUCAACACAAGGGUGCUCGCCGAGCCUCUCCACGUCGCUGCAGGAAGCUUUCCUGCGCUACGAUCCCAAAGAAUGUCGGCGCAGCGCCAAUGGACCAGCAGUAGAGGAAGUACGCCCGAUGCUGGCGAACCGAUACUUCAACAUGGACCACCUCGCCCUGUGGAAGCCGUCGUUGCUCACGUCUCUAGGCGAAACAUGCCGUCGCGCUGUUUACGUAAACGAGUAUCAUGCGCUUCUGUGCAGUCGGCGACUGGUUCUGGUGAAUAGCAAAGGCCGGUACAUCGUCUUCCCCCCCUUUUGCGACACUCUGAACGACGCCUACGUGGAGAGGGUAUCCAAGACGUGCACGCUAGUGCUUGCAGCCGUUGCAUCUGGCGUUCACGUGGCCCUUGUUCAGGACUCUGACAUCCGGAAAGCUGAUACCCUCAAGAGCGUCUUUUGCCCUACCGCGUCUGCCGUCGCCUGCAUUCACCACGUUGGAAAGAACUUCUACGGCUUGUGCUGUGAGAACUGCAGCGUGGAGGGGUUGGCAAUCACGCUCGACAACGCUCACUCUCUGCACCCUGAGCUGCAUGCGAAGGUGCUGCCCAGCCGACACGGCUGGGUCCAGGCAGCUUGCGACUACCUGUCCCCGAAGAGGUACGUGCACAGCCUCUUCGACCGGCACAGGGGGUAUCUCCUAAUGCUCUCCAGCCGGAAUGUGUCGCUGUGGAUGUACAGCGACGUAACUCAUUUGCAGCUCGAGUGCUCCGCCGCGCUUCCCCGGGAGGCGGUUGUAGCGAUUGUGCCCCCGUUGCAGGAUGAGUAUGGAGAGGCGCAGGUGGCUGUCCUCAUCACCAGCAGCGGCGGCCGUGUGCCGGUGCAUUUGUGCACCACGGCAGGCAAGCGCGGAAACUCGUGGUCGCUCUCCGUGGGUGAGCUGCGCGGUCUCCCUAGUGGGGUGACAAACACGGUGGUCUCACUGGCAUGCGCGUGCGGUUCGUCGCUGCUUUUGGCGGAUCAGCUAACCUCUUCUCUGCUUCUCGUGACCCGCUGCGAGCCGUUUUGCGAAGCCCCUGACAGUUCCACGACGCACGUUGUCACACAGCACUUCUUAGGCAAGCCUAUCUGCGGCGUCGGUGUCGAGAAGAGCGUGCGCGAUGGCGGCAGCUUUCUCACCUUUGUCGUGUACUGUGGGGACUCGACGAUUGUGCGUCUGGGCCGCAUGCCCCGUGGUCAACUCCUGCAGCGACAAUUCGCGGCCUCCGUAACGAGUGGCAUUGAUGCACUCAGCAAGCUCGAGCCGCAGGCGCAGGUGGUCCUUCUCCUUGACGCGGUACUAAGCGGCCUCCCGAUCUCGUACCUGUCACAGUCCCUCGAACCCCUUCUCCACCCGUGGGCGGCGACAGUGUGCGGAGUGCGCCUGUCAGAUGGCGCUCGUGGCAUCAUCCAUCAUGCAAUGCGGGGCUUGAGUGAGCUGUCGCGUUUGUGCUUGUCGUUUCACUACUGGCGACUGACGGAGGAGCUGGCGCAGUCGAGGUCUCGGUUGGAGAAGAGUUGUACCAUUCUUGCCGAGGUGCUGAACCGUGGCGGCUGGCUGGACUGCCCUACGCGGCAGAGACUGGAGUGGGACGAUGACGUUUUGGUGCGCGCAGACGGCAAGCUGACGGACAUCAGCGCUGUGGACGCCCAGGCAGAGGUUCUGCAGCUGCUGCUGUCAUCUGUGAAGCACGCGACAACGAUCGCGUGGCUUUACGACUUGGUCCUGCAGACCGGCACCACCUAUCGAUUUCCUGGCCGACUGGAGGACCUACUAUGGAAGAGCGACCCGGUAGCAGUGCAAGUGUCGCUGUGCAUGGAUCUACUGGCAAAGCACGACAAGGACAUCACGGACAAUCUCCUGCAGAAGGAGCACGUACUGCCGCAGCGCUGCCGCCUCGCCGCAACCCUCCUGUCACUGGUGUUGGACAGGGCGUUCGAGCCUGUCAUGGCAUACACAAGACGGCACAUCCUCGACAUUGUGCAGUAUGAUCUUCUCUCAUACACGACGGACCUCCUCGAGUCAAGCUUUCCUACCUCGCAGCCUCGCAUUCGCCUCCUGGUGUACCGCUACCCGCACGAUCACAGCGUCUCAUCCGACAUGCUGUCGAUGGUCGAAGCCAUUUCUUCAACCGGCGAUCUCUACAACACACUGGUGACCAUUCUUGGCGACGCGGCGUGCGACAGCGAGCUGAGCUCGGUCCUGCUCGAUUGGAUGGAGUGCCACACCCUCGCUGACCAUCGGAUUUUGACGUUCGCGAAGGUUGUCGUGGACAUGGGACUCUGCGUCGACCCGGCGCACACCUUAACAGGGCGUUUUUUUUCGUCGGUGAAGCAGCAGGCGAACGGAAACGCGCAGCAGGCGGCGCUGCGUUUUGCCGAGCUGGCGCGCAGCAACCUGUCUGUACCCCUCGACGGACGGCUUCUCGCUAUCGAGCACGCCAUCACUGCCGUGCCGUCGGACGACAAUCGACUGAUUCAGUUCCUGUUGCUGCUGCAGCAGCAGCUGGCCAGCCUGAUCGCUGAGCACCUGGCCGUCGGCAAGGAUCUCGUUUUCGCGCGCGGCACCGUGGAGGCGGAUCUGCGGGCGCUGCGGGAGCACUACGUCAAUGAGAACUCUCUCUUCGAACUGGCUGGACGCUACAAAGUGCUGGGCGGGUGCAGCAUCCAGCUCGACUUGCUGAAGAUCCACUCAGACUCUCCCGAGCUGCUGAUUGCCAAUGCGCUGACCGGUGUGCUGACGUUCCUCAAGGCUGUGGGGCUGUCUGCGCCACAGGCGGUGCAGCGUGUUCUGCGGGAGUACCUUGGCACCUUUCAGGCCCCAUUGCCCCUCUUCCCGUUUGUUGAGUUUCUUGCCUUUGAUGGCCAAUCCCCAGCCCUGGCCGUUGACGAGCUGGAGAAGGUCGGCGUGCCGCUGCCCACCAUUUUUGAUACCUUCAUGAGCUUGCUGGACGGCCACCGCAAUCCGCUUUUUCAGAUUGGUGACACGGUGCUGGCUCUGGGGCAGCUGGUGCCCAAGAUCAGCCCUGCUGUUCAGCACAUCUGCGCAGCACACUUACUAGAGUGCAGCCGGAGCAUGCUUGCAGGAGAGCAGCGCGCCAUUGCGUUGACAGAGGAGGAUGUGCACAUCAUCAAGCAAAUCGGGGACGACAUGCGGAAGCUGUCGCAGCGGAGCCAGACAGCAUUCUGACAGCAUACACGCCUCCAAUCCCACUCCAAAAUUCCUUCUUGAUGGCUGCUUCCGCUCGUCAGUUCUCUCUCGUUUUCGUGGGGUUUGCCCAUUGCAAGGAGACGCACCACCUUCACGGGAGGUGGCCACUCCUCAUUGCUCCCCCAUUUCAGUGUUGUCUAAUCCCCGCUACCUGCCAGAGGCCCAGGGAAUCUAAGACACAAUGAAAAGAAGCAGAAUCGCAGCUGCGCCUUUCCCCGACCGCCGUUGAAGAACAACGGCGAAGCGCCUCUGCCAGUCUACCUCCCCUUCCACAGAAGCACAACUGUUUUUGGCAAAACAGUGUCGCCUCUUUCUCGUUUACAUGUGGGCUUCUCGUGCAGAGGAGCCACUUUUGCGGAAGGAGGUUAGAUGCCUGUUAUCAUGGUACACAGGUUGGGUUUGUGUGAGUGUGUCGCAGAGACCUUCUUACUCAACACACUCUAUCCCUUCCCUUUUGUCUCUUGUGCCUCCAUUUUGAGUAUCUUUCUUCCUUCACUCCGCGCUCACUCAUGCCACAACCUGCCACCGCUUCUUCCUCACUCGCUGAAACCCUCUUUCUCUUACCUGCCUCAACGUAUGCCGUCACGUAUCCGCAG